AGAGUUUGAUCCUGGCUCAGGACGAACGCUGGCGGCGUGCCUAAUACAUGCAAGUCGAGCGAGCUUGCCUAGAUGAUUUUAGUGCUUGCACUAAAUGAAACUAGAUACAAGCGAGCGGCGGACGGGUGAGUAACACGUGGGUAACCUGCCCAAGAGACUGGGAUAACACCUGGAAACAGAUGCUAAUACCGGAUAACAACACUAGACGCAUGUCUAGAGUUUGAAAGAUGGUUCUGCUAUCACUCUUGGAUGGACCUGCGGUGCAUUAGCUAGUUGGUAAGGUAACGGCUUACCAAGACAAUGAUGCAUAGCCGAGUUGAGAGACUGAUCGGCCACAUUGGGACUGAGACACGGCCCAAACUCCUACGGGAGGCAGCAGUAGGGAAUUUUCCACAAUGGACGAAAGUCUGAUGGAGCAACGCCGCGUGAGUGAAGAAGGGUUUCGGCUCGUAAAGCUCUGUUGGUAGUGAAGAAAGAUAGAGGUAGUAACUGGCCUUUAUUUGACGGUAAUUACUUAGAAAGUCACGGCUAACUACGUGCCAGCAGCCGCGGUAAUACGUAGGUGGCAAGCGUUGUCCGGAUUUAUUGGGCGUAAAGCGAGUGCAGGCGGUUCAAUAAGUCUGAUGUGAAAGCCUUCGGCUCAACCGGAGAAUUGCAUCAGAAACUGUUGAACUUGAGUGCAGAAGAGGAGAGUGGAACUCCAUGUGUAGCGGUGGAAUGCGUAGAUAUAUGGAAGAACACCAGUGGCGAAGGCGGCUUACUGGACGAUGACUGACGCUGAGGCUCGAAAGCGUGGGGAGCAAACAGGAUUAGAUACCCUGGUAGUCCACGCCGUAAACGAUGAGUACUAGGUGUCGGCGGGCAGGGCCCCCCGGUGCCGCAGCAAACGCAGUAAGUAUUCCGCCUGGGGAGUACGCUCGCAAGAAUGAAACUCAAAGGAAUCGACGGGGACCCGCACAAGCGGUGGAGCAUGUGGUUUAAUUCGAAGCAACGCGAAGAACCUUACCAGGUCUUGACAUCCAGUGCAAACCUAAGAGAUUAGGUGUUCCCUUCGGGGACGCUGAGACAGGUGGUGCAUGGCUGUCGUCAGCUCGUGUCGUGAGAUGUUGGGUUAAGUCCCGCAACGAGCGCAACCCUUGUCAUUAGUUGCCAUCAUUAAGUUGGGCACUCUAAUGAGACUGCCGGUGACAAACCGGAGGAAGGUGGGGAUGACGUCAAGUCAUCAUGCCCCUUAUGACCUGGGCUACACACGUGCUACAAUGGACGGUACAACGAGAAGCGAACCUGCGAAGGCAAGCGGAUCUCUUAAAGCUGUUCUCAGUUCGGACUGUAGGCUGCAACUCGCCUACACGAAGCUGGAAUCGCUAGUAAUCGCGGAUCAGCACGCCGCGGUGAAUACGUUCCCGGGCCUUGUACACACCGCCCGUCA
rnacentral:rRNA from 1 species